AAGGAUCAUUACCUAGAGUUGUAGGCUUUGCCCUACCCAUCUCUUACCCAUGUCUUUUGAGUACCUUCGUUUCCUCGGCGGGUCCCGCCCCGCCGAUUGGACAAACUUAAACCCUUUGUAAUUGAAAUCAGCGUCUGAAAAAACAUAAUAGUUACAACUUUCAACAACGGAUCUCUUGGUUCUGGCAUCGAUGAAGAACGCAGCGAAAUGCGAUAAGUAGUGUGAAUUGCAGAAUUCAGUGAAUCAUCGAAUCUUUGAACGCACAUUGCGCCCCUUGGUAUUCCAUGGGGCAUGCCUGUUCGAGCGUCAUUUGUACCUUCAAGCUCUGCUUGGUGUUGGGUGUUUGUCUCGCCUUUGCGUGUAGACUCGCCUUAAAACAAUUGGCAGCCGGCGUAUUGAUUUCGGAGCGCAGUACAUCUCGCGCUUUGCACUCAUAACGACGACGUCCAAAAAGUACUUUUUACACUCUUGACCUCGGAUCAGGUAGGGAUACCCGCUGAACUUAA
rnacentral:rRNA from 1 species